GUUACCCGACUCAAUCUUCAGUCCAGAAACAGAAAAUCUUCCUUCUGACUUCUUUCUUAUCUUCAGAAAGUCAACAGUAGCCUAACGCUGCAUCACAAUGCCUACCUAGAAUUUUUCAUCACAUGAAACCCAGAUAUCCUGACAUGGAUUUUAGAAAAAAAAAAUCAUAUAUCCCUUCCCAGAGAAAAAACAAACAAACAAACAAACAAACGUGGAACUGUUGUUGAGAAUCUAAAGGAAAUAUGGAAAAUAAGAUUCAGCAGAGGUGUGAUUUCCUCCAGGAAGCCUUUCUCUGAAGCCUUUCUCCGACCCUUUGACUACAAGACUAAGUUAUACAUCUCAUUACCACGUAUUUUCAGAAGAAGGAAAAGACAUUUAUGUGAUCCUGAUUAUAUGGGACCUCCAUCUUGCAGACAGCAGAUUGUGGGACUUCGUAGCCUCCAUAAUUAU